CCUCUCCACACCCAGUUAUGAAGGAAAAAUGAAUAGUAGUGCGGAGAGUCAGUUUCCAACAUGCUGCAGAGCUGACCCUGAAAAAUACAUUUCUCUCUUGGACCCACUCCCUUGUCCAAAUCGCUUGAUCAGGAGCCAACUGCCUGUGAUUUGAUACUUUUCUACCCAACUCAUCUCAGUGGGAGAACAAAGGCCUCCGCGGACUCAAGUUCCUCCCUCAAACUCAAUCCCAAUGACUGACAGCUCUUUCCCUGGUGGGCUGCCUGCACCACCUUUGGCCUACCGUGGACACCCUCCACGCUGUGCUCAGUCUUCCAGCAGCAGCCAAGGUCUUCCUCCCUGCAGGUCUGCUACUGAAACCAGCCCCACGCCAAGGUGAGGUUGUUGGUGUCCUCCAACAUGGCGGAUGUGCACAGAAAAAGCUACUUGCGCAUGCUCUGAUUUUUAAGAUUAACACUGGGUUUAAAGUUACAUUUAAGAGCCCAGUAUUUCUAGUAUGUAUCUUCAUUGUCUAGUUACCAACCAAGCAAAAUUCAACUAUCACUUUUAAGGAGUGCCUUCACAAAUUAAUUAAAUGCCCUUAAAUAUUUUCAAACUGAGUUUGUAGAGUUAGUAUAUAUUUUUUUUCUUUUAGAUUCCUUUUCUGAUUAAUGAGACCUUCCAUGUGGCUCCCAAGUAACUGUAAUGUCAACGCCAAUUUGUCAGAGCCUCCAUGCCUGAUGGAAUUACGUUAUAAACUUUUGCACUUUGUCGCAUGA